CAACGCCGCGUGAGGGAUGAAGGCCUCUGGGCUGUAAACCUCUUUUAUCAAGGAAGAAGAUCUGACGGUACUUGAUGAAUAAGCCACGGCUAAUUCCGUGCCAGCAGCCGCGGUAAUACGGGAGUGGCAAGCGUUAUCCGGAAUUAUUGGGCGUAAAGCGACCGCAGGCGGUCUUGAAAGUCUGUUGUUAAGGCGUGGAGCUCAACUCCAUUUCAGCAAUGGAAACUAGAAGACUAGAGUGUGGUAGGGGCAGAGGGAAUUCCCGGUGUAGCGGUGAAAUGCGCAGAUAU
rnacentral:rRNA from 1 species